GCUCAGAUUGAACGCUGGCGGCAUGCCUUACACAUGCAAGUCGAACGGUAACAGGUUAAGCUGACGAGUGGCGAACGGGUGAGUAAUAUAUCGGAACGUGCCCAGUCGUGGGGGAUAACUGCUCGAAAGAGCAGCUAAUACCGCAUACGACCUGAGGGUGAAAGCGGGGGAUCGCAAGACCUCGCGCGAUUGGAGCGGCCGAUAUCAGAUUAGGUAGUUGGUGGGGUAAAAGCCCACCAAGCCAACGAUCUGUAGCUGGUCUGAGAGGACGACCAGCCACACUGGGACUGAGACACGGCCCAGACUCCUACGGGAGGCAGCAGUGGGGAAUUUUGGACAAUGGACGCAAGUCUGAUCCAGCCAUGCCGCGUGCGGGAAGAAGGCCUUCGGGUUGUAAACCGCUUUUGUCAGGGAAGAAAAGGUUCUGGUUAAUACCUGGGGCUC
rnacentral:rRNA from 1 species